rnacentral:rRNA from 1 species
GUCGAGCGAACGGACGAGAAGCUUGCUUCUCUGAUGUUAGCGGCGGACGGGUGAGUAACACGUGGAUAACCUACCUAUAAGACUGGGAUAACUUCGGGAAACCGGAGCUAAUACCGGAUAAUAUUUUGAACCGCAUGGUUCAAAAGUGAAAGACGGUCUUGCUGUCACUUAUAGAUGGAUCCGCGCUGCAUUAGCUAGUUGGUAAGGUAACGGCUUACCAAGGCAACGAUGCAUAGCCGACCUGAGAGGGUGAUCGGCCACACUGGAACUGAGACACGGUCCAGACUCCUACGGGAGGCAGCAGUAGGGAAUCUUCCGCAAUGGGCGAAAGCCUGACGGAGCAACGCCGCGUGAGUGAUGAAGGUCUUUGGAUCGUAAAACUCUGUUAUUAGGGAAGAACAUAUGUGUAAGUAACUGUGCACAUCUUGACGGUACCUAAUCAGAAAGCCACGGCUAACUACGUGCCAGCAGCCGCGGUAAUACGUAGGUGGCAAGCGUUAUCCGGAAUUAUUGGGCGUAAAGCGCGCGUAGGCGGUUUUUUAAGUCUGAUGUGAAAGCCCACGGCUCAACCGUGGAGGGUCAUUGGAAACAGGAAAACUUGAGUGCAGAAGAGGAAAGUGGAAUUCCAUGUGUAGCGGUGAAAUGCGCAGAGAUAUGGAGGAACACCAGUGGCGAA